CUCGGUCACAUCGACUGGUGAAUGAAUCCAGCACUCAGGGAGCUGGAAAGAGGGGAGUAGUUCAGGAGGGAGCUGAGAAGAGAGGAUCUGAUAGGAGAAGGAUAAAGCUGCUCCCAGCCCUUGAAGUGCCUGCAAGGAGGUGCGAAGAUUUUCCAUGAUGGUAGACAACACAGGGAACAUCGUUGUGGCUGCAACACAGCCCACUCAUGCCUGUUUCCAGGCUAAAGUCACUACACCUCCCAUCAUCUGUGCAGCACAAAAAGAGGACCAGAAGCACAAAAACAGGACCAGAGUCCUACAUGGGAAUGAGAUGAGGAAACAGCCUACCUAUCCACAAACACAGCCAUCUCUGCCUGCAGGAUGUGGCCCAGGACAGGAUGCAACCAGGUUGUUUGUUGGUACCUCCACUGUGGUAUCAGUGCCAGUGUGCAGCAGAAGGGCAUCUCAUCUCUGA
rnacentral:lncRNA from 1 species